AAGGAUCAUUAUUGAAAUAAACCUGAUGAGUUGCUGCUGGCUCUCUAGGGAGCAUGUGCACACUUGUCAUCUUUAUAUCUCCACCUGUGCACCUUUUGUAGAUCUGGAUAUCUCUCUGAGCGCUUAGCAACUCAGGUUUGAGGAUUGACUUUAUUGUCUCUCCUUACAUUUCCAGACCUAUGUUUCUUUAUAUACCCCAAUGUAUGUCAUAGAAUGUAAUUAAUGGGCCUUUGUGCCUAUAAAUCUAUACAACUUUCAGCAACGGAUCUCUUGGCUCUCGCAUCGAUGAAGAACGCAGCGAAAUGCGAUAAGUAAUGUGAAUUGCAGAAUUCAGUGAAUCAUCGAAUCUUUGAACGCACCUUGCGCUCCUUGGUAUUCUGAGGAGCAUGCCUGUUUGAGUGUCAUUAAUAUAUAUCAACCUCUACAACUUUUGUUUGUUGAGUUGUUGGAUGUGGGGGCUCUUGCUGGCUUCUCUGAGGUCAGCUCCCCUGAAAUACAUUAGCGGAACGAUCCCCGUUCAUUGGUGUGAUAACUAUCUACGCUAUUGAYGUGAAGUAGUUUGGCUUAUAACAGUCCAUUGACUUGGACAAAUUUUCAUUAAUGUGACCUCAAAUCAGGUAGGACUACCCGCUGAACUUAAGCAUAUCAAUAAGCGGAGGAAAAGAAACUAACAAGGAUUCCCCUAGUAACUGCGAGUGAAGCGGGAAAAGCUCAAAUUUAAAA
rnacentral:rRNA from 1 species